rnacentral:rRNA from 1 species
UACGGAGGAUCCAAGCGUUAUCCGGAUUUAUUGGGUUUAAAGGGUGCGUAGGUGGCCUGUUAAGUCAGGGGUGAAAGACGGUAGCUCAACUAUCGCAGUGCCCCUUGAUACUGAUGGGCUUGAAUAAACUAGAGGUAGGCGGAAUGUGACAAGUAGCGGUGAAAAUGCAUAGAUAUGUCACAGAACACCAAUUGCGAAGGCAGCUUACUAUGGUUUUAUUUGACACUGAGGCACGAAAGCGUGGGGGAUCAAAACAGG